UAAUUUGAGAGUUUGAUCCUGGCUCAGGACGAACGCUGGCGGCGUGCCUAAUACAUGCAAGUCGAACGAACUCUGGUAUUGAUUGGUGCUUGCAUCAUGAUUUACAUUUGAGUGAGUGGCGAACUGGUGAGUAACACGUGGGAAACCUGCCCAGAAGCGGGGGAUAACACCUGGAAACAGAUGCUAAUACCGCAUAACAACUUGGACCGCAUGGUCCGAGCUUGAAAGAUGGCUUCAGCUAUCACUUUUGGAUGGUCCCGCGGCGUAUUAGCUAGAUGGUGAGGUAACGGCUCACCAUGGCAAUGAUACGUAGCCGACCUGAGAGGGUAAUCGGCCACAUUGGGACUGAGACACGGCCCAAACUCCUACGGGAGGCAGCAGUAGGGAAUCUUCCACAAUGGACGAAAGUCUGAUGGAGCAACGCCGCGUGAGUGAAGAAGGGUUUCGGCUCGUAAAACUCUGUUGUUAAAGAAGAACAUAUCUGAGAGUAACUGUUCAGGUAUUGACGGUAUUUAACCAGAAAGCCACGGCUAACUACGUGCCAGCAGCCGCGGUAAUACGUAGGUGGCAAGCGUUGUCCGGAUUUAUUGGGCGUAAAGCGAGCGCAGGCGGUUUUUUAAGUCUGAUGUGAAAGCCUUCGGCUCAACCGAAGAAGUGCAUCGGAAACUGGGAAACUUGAGUGCAGAAGAGGACAGUGGAACUCCAUGUGUAGCGGUGAAAUGCGUAGAUAUAUGGAAGAACACCAGUGGCGAAGGCGGCUGUCUGGCCUGUAACUGACGCUGAGGCUCGAAAGUAUGGGUAGCAAACAGGAUUAGAUACCCUGGUAGUCCAUACCGUAAACGAUGAAUGCUAAGUGUUGGAGGGUUUCCGCCCUUCAGUGCUGCAGCUAACGCAUUAAGCAUUCCGCCUGGGGAGUACGGCCGCAAGGCUGAAACUCAAAGGAAUUGACGGGGGCCCGCACAAGCGGUGGAGCAUGUGGUUUAAUUCGAAGCUACGCGAAGAACCUUACCAGGUCUUGACAUACUAUGCAAAUCUAAGAGAUUAGACGUUCCCUUCGGGGACAUGGAUACAGGUGGUGCAUGGUUGUCGUCAGCUCGUGUCGUGAGAUGUUGGGUUAAGUCCCGCAACGAGCGCAACCCUUAUUAUCAGUUGCCAGCAUUAAGUUGGGCACUCUGGUGAGACUGCCGGUGACAAACCGGAGGAAGGUGGGGAUGACGUCAAAUCAUCAUGCCCCUUAUGACCUGGGCUACACACGUGCUACAAUGGAUGGUACAACGAGUUGCGAACUCGCGAGAGUAAGCUAAUCUCUUAAAGCCAUUCUCAGUUCGGAUUGUAGGCUGCAACUCGCCUACAUGAAGUCGGAAUCGCUAGUAAUCGCGGAUCAGCAUGCCGCGGUGAAUACGUUCCCGGGCCUUGUACACACCGCCCGUCACACCAUGAGAGUUUGUAACACCCAAAGUCGGUGGGGUAACCUUUUAGGAACCAGCCGCCUAAGGUGGGACAGAUGAUUAGGGUGAAGUCGUAACAAGGUAGCCGUAGGAGAACCUGCGGCUGGAUCACCUCCUUU
rnacentral:rRNA from 1 species